GACGAACGCUGGCGGCGUGCUUAACACAUGCAAGUCGAACGGUGAAGCGCCUUCCUUUUUGGUGGGUGUGGAUGAGUGGCGAACGGGUGAGUAACACGUGAGUAACCUGCCCCCUUCUUCUGGAUAACCGCAUGAAAGUGUGGCUAAUACGGGAUAUUCUGGGUCUGUCGCAUGAUGGGUCUGGGAAAGAUAUUGCUUCGGUGGGGGAUGGGCUCGCGGCCUAUCAGCUUGUUGGUGGGGUGAUGGCCUACCAAGGCGGUGACGGGUAGCCGGCCUGAGAGGGUGGACGGUCACACGGGGACGGAGACACGGCCCAGACUCCUACGGGAGGCAGCAGUGGGGAAUAUUGCACAAUGGGCGCAAGCCUGAUGCAGCGACGCCGCGUGAGGGAUGGAGGCCUUCGGGUUGUGAACCUCUUUCGCCAGUGAAGCAGGCCUGCCUCGUUUGUGGGUGGGUUGACGGUAGCUGGAUAAGAAGCGCCGGCUAACUACGUG
rnacentral:rRNA from 1 species